UUUAAAUAUAAAUUUCGAUGCUAAGGUAGUAAUAGUUAUGGUCUUGAAACUUAAAGAAUUUGGCGGUAUUUUAGUCUAUUUAGAGGAAUCUGUCCCGUAAUCGAUAAUCCGCGUUGAACCUAACUUAAUUAUUAAAUGGUAUGUAUACCGCCGUUUAUUGAUUAUUUUUUUAGGAUAUUUUCUUAUAAUAAAUUCAUUUUAUUUCAGGUCAAGGUGCAGCUAAUGAUUAAGGGGAGAUGGAUUACAAUAUAUAAAGGUAUAAUGGAUUAAUAAUUGUAAUAUUAAUAUGAAGGUGAAUUUAAUAGUAAUUUUUUGUAGAUUAGAAAUUUGAUUUUAGCUCUAAAAUGUGU
rnacentral:rRNA from 2 species